rnacentral:rRNA from 1 species
CCUACGGGAGGCUGCAGUGAGGAAUAUUGGUCAAUGGACGCAAGUCUGAACCAGCCAUGCCGCGUGCAGGAUGACGGCUCUAUGAGUUGUAAACUGCUUUUGUACGAGGGUAAACCACGAUACGUGUAUCGGGGUGAAAGUAUCGUACGAAGAAGGAUCGGCUAACUCCGUGCCAGCAGCCGCGGUAAUACGGAGGCUCCGAGCGUUAUCCGGAUUUAUUGGGGUUAAAGGGUGCGUAGGCGGUUUUAUAAGUUAGAGGGGAAAUGUCGGGGCUCAACCCCGAAACUGCCUCUAAUACUGUUGGACUAGAGCAUAGUUGCGGUAGGCGGAAUGUAUGGUGUAGCGGUGAACUGCUUA